rnacentral:rRNA from 1 species
CAAUAGCGUAUAUUAAAGUUGUUGCAGUUAAAAAGCUCGUAGUUGGACCUUGGACCUGGACAGGCGGUCCGCCUCACGGCGAGUACUGUCUUGCUGGGUCUUUCCUCUUGGUGAUCUGUUGUUUCGGCAGCAGGGAACCAGGACCUUUACUUUGAAAAAAUUAGAGUGUUCAAAGCAGGCUCGACGCCGGAAUAUAUUAGCAUGGAAUAAUAAAAUAGGACGUGCGGUUCUAUUUUGUUGGUUUUUGGAAUCGCCGUAAUGAUUAAUAGGGACAGUCGGGGGCAUUAGUACUCACAUGCUAGAGGUGAAAUUCUUGGAUUUUGCGAAGACUAACUUCUGCGAAAGCAUUUGCCAAGGAUGUUUUCAUUAA